CCUACGGGAGGCAGCAGUGAGGAAUAUUGGUCAAUGGUCGCGAGACUGAACCAGCCAAGUAGCGUGCAGGAUUACGGCCCUAUGGGUUGUAAACUGCUUUUAUGCGGGGACAAAAUGCGCCACGUGUGAUGUUUUGUAGGUACCGCAUGAAUAAGGCCUGGCUAAUCCCGUGCCAGCCGCCGCGGUAAUACGGAAGGUGCGGGCGUUAUCCGGAUUUAUUGGGUUUAAAGGGUGCGUAGGCGGAGCGUUAAGUCAGUGGUAAAAUUGAGGGGGUAAACCCCUUGCCGCCGUUGAAACUGGCGCUCUUGAGUGGGAGAGAAGUAUGCGGAAUGCGUGGUGUAGCGGUGAAAUGCAUAGAGAUCACGCAGAACGCCGAUUGCGAAGGCAGCAUGCCGGCGUCCGACUGACGCUGAAGCACGAAAGCGUGGGGAUCGAACAGGAUUAGAUACCCCUGUAGUC
rnacentral:rRNA from 1 species